GUUUCCGUAGGUGACCUGCGGAGGAUCAUUAUCGAAUUGGCUUGGACUGUGCUGGCUUCUGCAUGUGCACGUCCAUCUUCAUCCAAUACACCUGUGCAUCUUUGACUUUGAGCCCUCGGGCAAGAAGUAUUACUACACCCUUUGAUUAUGUAUGUGAUAAAUUAUGGCGCUUUGCGUCGAUUAUAAAACAACUUUCAACAACGGAUCUCUUGGCUCUCGCAUCGAUGAAGAACGCAGCGAAAUGCGAUAAGUAAUGUGAAUUGCAGAAUUCAGUGAAUCAUCGAAUCUUUGAACGCACCUUGCACCCUUUGGUAUUCCGAAGGGUAUGCCCGUUUGAGUGUCAUUGUAAUCUCACACCCAAGACUUCUUGUCGAGGGAGGUGGACUUGGACGUUUGCUGCGUAACUGCGGCUCGUCUCAAAAGUGUCAGCGCGGCUCUAGAUGAAGCGUUUGAUGCCCAGUGUAAUAAGUAUUUCGCUGUGGUUAGCAUUAGUCUACGAAGCUGUUGUGCCCUCUAAUCGUCUUCGGACUGGACCAGUGAUGGUUCAUUUGACAACUUGGCCUCAAAUCGGGUAGGACUACCCGCUGAACUUAAGCAUAUCAAUAAGCGGAUGAAAAGAAACUAACAAGGAUUCCCCUAGUAACGGCGAGUGAAGAGGGAAGAGCUCAAAUUUUGAAUCUGGCGUCUUCGGCGUCCGAGUUGAAUCUAUAGAAGUGUUUUCCGCGAUGGACCUUGCACAAGUCUCCUGGAA
rnacentral:rRNA from 1 species